rnacentral:rRNA from 1 species
AACGAACGCUGGCGGCAGGCUUAACACAUGCAAGUCGAACGCCCCGCAAGGGGAGUGGCAGACGGGUGAGUAACGCGUGGGAACGUACCCUUUCCUGCGGAAUAGCUCCGGGAAACUGGAAUUUAUACCGCAUACGCCCUACGGGGGAAAGAUUUAUCGGGGAAGGAUUGGCCCGCGUUGGAUUAGCUAGUUGGUGGGGUAAAGGCCUACCAAGGCGACGAUCCAUAGCUGGUCUGAGAGGAUGAUCAGCCACAUUGGGACUGAGACACGGCCCAAACUCCUACGGGAGGCAGCAGUGGGGAAUAUUGGACAAUGGGCGCAAGCCUGAUCCAGCCAUGCCGCGUGAGUGAUGAAGGCCUUAGGGUUGAAAAGCUCUUUCACCGAUGAAGACAAUGACGGUAGUCGGAGAAGAAGCCCCGGCUAACUUCGUGCCAGCAGCCGCCGUAAUAC